rnacentral:tRNA from 1 species
CGGCAUUGGCGAAGGUGUCACGCGCCUGGCGCUUGAUCAGGGCCAGCCGCUUGGGGUCCAGCGCCGGUUCAAAGCCGACGAUGUCGACCA